CAGGGCUAUGAUGAUCAGUUCUACCGCCCCAGUCUGACAUACAGUGACUGAGUGGUAUUUUCUGAGCUUCU